rnacentral:piRNA from 1 species
UACAAUAGUAAGAUGGGAAAAAACA